ensembl:snoRNA U3 Small nucleolar RNA U3
AAGACUAUACUUUCAGGGAUCAUUUCUAUAGUUCGUUACUAGAGUUAUUGACAGUUAUGAGCUGCUGUGUAGAUGCUGGGAACCAAACUAUGGUCCUCUGA